AUCUAACACAAAGAGCACAAUAGCAGAGAUAUCAAAUGACACCACUUACCCAGAUAGCACUGUGGAUUCCUCUACAGCAAGCACCAUAGCAGACACCACAUCCCUGAAUAGCACGAUAGCUUUCUCUACAGCUAGCACCAAAGCAGGU
rnacentral:lncRNA from 1 species